GACGAACGCUGGCGGCGUGCUUAACACAUGCAAGUCGAACGGAAAGGCCCUGCUUUUGUGGGGUGCUCGAGUGGCGAACGGGUGAGUAACACGUGAGUAACCUGCCCUUGACUUUGGGAUAACUUCAGGAAACUGGGGCUAAUACCGGAUAGGAGCUCCUGCUGCAUGGUGGGGGUUGGAAAGUUUCGGCGGUUGGGGAUGGACUCGCGGCUUAUCAGCUUGUUGGUGGGGUAGUGGCUUACCAAGGCUUUGACGGGUAGCCGGCCUGAGAGGGUGACCGGCCACAUUGGGACUGGGAUACGGCCCAGACUCCUACGGGAGGCAGCAGUGGGGAAUAUUGCACAAUGGGCGGAAGCCUGAUGCAGCAACGCCGCGUGCGGGAUGACGGCCUUCGGGUUGUAAACCGCUUUCGCCUGUGACGAAGCGGGAGUGACGGUAAUGGGUAAAGAAGCACCGGCUAACUACGUG
rnacentral:rRNA from 1 species